AUAGUGAUAACGACGGCGAUGGCGAUGAUGAUGAUGACGAUAGUAAUGAUGAUGGUGAUGACGUUGAUAUUCGUGAUUUAGGUUACUUUGGUGAUUUUAAUAAUUUAUGUAAUUAUAUUGUUAGCGAUGAUCUACUUGAACUUACAAGACAAUUUUGCUAUUCGCUGAGAGCGCGGAUAUUAGAAAGACGAUCGAAAUCAUUAAAAGCAAAGUUCGAUUAUUACAACAUACCCUACUGAUUAUAUGCAACAUAAAGGCAAUGGUCAAUACCGGUUGUCUUCAGUAUUAUACCUUUGUGUGAGUACGUUAAUAACUUGAGUUUUGAAUUUUUUCAAAAACGAUUCCGUAUUUGAACUAGUUGCCCGUUCAUCAGGAAUUUAUUCCUGUACAACAAGUGAAAUGCUGGUUAAAACUUGCAGUAACAAUGAUUAUUUUGUACUUGCAAUUUUACAAAGCCACUGCAACUUUGACACUAAUACGAGCGUACCUAGCCAUAGGUAUAUCAAAAAGUUUCGUAUAACCUAAUUUGGUUCUGUUAAAAAAAAGAGCAGCACUACCUAGCCCUAUAGAUAUAUCAAAAAGUUUCGUAUAACCUAAUAUGGUUCUGUUAAAAAAAAGAGCAGCACUAUGUGCAUAUGUCGCCUAAUAGUUAAGACCACAACUCAUAAUUAUUAUUUUUAUUAUUUGCCAUUUAGGUAGUAGGACUAUGGUAUAGAUAAAUAAGUAAAUAAAUAUAUCGAAUAUUUAUUAUUAUAGUUUAAUAUUGAUAACACAAUACAUUGUGUUUGUAGCUGAAAAUCUAAAGAUAAUAUACAUAUGUACAAAAUACGUUAUGACAAAUAAAGACUGAUCUACAUUUUAAA